ACGGUGGUGGUGGCGGGAGUAGGGUGCGGGUCCCUCGUCUGUGUUCCCGGGGACGGCGAGGCCCUGGCGCUGGUGUGGAGGCCGGGCUUCUCGCUCGUCUGCGCCGCCGACUCGCUGUGUGGCCGCGCUGAAGGCCCUGCCCGGCCCUGGGCCCCGCUUCCCAUCUGCUCUAUCAGUGACAAACUUUGCAACGUGGAUGUGUGUGUGUUUUCCCACUAGUGACUGGAAGUUCCACGGGAAGUCAAGAUAAAUAGGGCAGCCCCUUGCUGUGUCCGUGGGAUAGGCUGGAUGAUGCUGCCAUGACAGCCAAGCGCAGAGCUCGGUGGCUUGAAACAGCACGAGUUGGUUCCUCAUCCACUGUGUCCCCGCGCUGGCAGCAGGGGAGGCUCCGCCCUCUAUGGAGACUCGAGGACCCAGGCUGGCUCAGGACUUAGCAUCUUGAACGUUGCCAGUCGUCAUGUCAGGGGAAAGAGCGCUUUGGAGGGUCUUGCACUUGCAACCAAAUGCCUGGGGCUGAGAGUCAUGCACACGCCUUCCGUUCACAACGCUCUGGCCAAAGCUGCUCACACGGCCCCACCUGCCACAGCAUGCCCGGGGGCUGGUCCUGAUCACGCACCAGCUGGCCGGGAGGGGGAGGAAUCCGAUGAGCAAUGUCAAUGACAAGCACACUUGCUUAAAAACAGGCUCGAUUUUAAAUGAAUCCAUGGGAUUUGGCGAUUUAACGCAAUGCUGUUGCCGAAUGAGGAAGAGCCCCCAAGCCAUGUCUAUUUCUUCAUGACUUGUGGAACCUGCCCCAAACACUGGCCUUUCAGAGGCUCAGAGCAAUCUCUAGAUGCACACAGAAAGAGUGCGGAGUGCCCCAUCUUCCCCCCAAAUUCCCUCCUCAAAUAGCAGCGAAUCCAAGAGCAGUGAAUACAUUCCGAUGUCUGAUCUCCAAGAGGGCAAAGGCACUGCACGAUUACUUUACACCGAAAGGGGAAAGCGUGCUUCUUGCCUUAUGCCACACCUCCUCCCAGUGACCUCCUUCCCUUCAGGACCCAGGCUGGUGGCCCCUCUCACUCCUGGCCCCAUGAGGUGCCCUGUCCCCAGAGGAGGCUGGGCAAGUGCCCCUGUCUGCCCAGUGUGGCCUCUCCUGUGCCCUGGGCUGCGCCCAGCCAUGGGUGCAGGUGGCAUCAGAGAACAGGAGGCCACGGCCUUCGGGCUGCACUGGGCACAAGGCUGAACAUGCACACAUGCCUGUAGAAAGAUUAUGUCAAAGUCGUUUUUAUUCAACUGUUAUCCAGCAAUAUACAAUUCAGUUUAUAAACAAGUGUCUGACCUUGUUUCCAAUCUUUAUUUAAAAAUAAAUAUUAUUGACAGUGAA